rnacentral:rRNA from 1 species
GGCCCAACUGAUUGAACGUGCUUGCACGGACUUGACGUUGGUUUACCAGCGAGUGGCGGACGGGUGAGUAACACGUAGGUAACCUGCCCCAAAGCGGGGGAUAACAUUUGGAAACAGAUGCUAAUACCGCAUAAUAAUUUGAAUCGCAUAAUUCAAAUUUAAAAGAUGGCUUCGGCUAUCACUUUGGGAUGGACCUGCGGCGCAUUAGCUUGUUGGUAGGGUAACGGCCUACCAAGGCUGUGAUGCGUAGCCGAGUUGAGAGACUGAUCGGCCACAAUGGAACUGAGACACGGUCCAUACUCCUACGGGAGGCAGCAGUAGGGAAUCUUCCACAAUGGGCGCAAGCCUGAUGGAGCAACACCGCGUGAGUGAAGAAGGGUUUCGGCUCGUAAAGCUCUGUUGUUAGAGAAGAACGUGCGUGAGAGCAACUGUUCACGCAGUGACGGUAUCUAACCAGAAAGUCACGGCUAACUACGUGCCAGCAGCCGCGGUAAUACGUAGGUGGCAAGCGUUAUCCGGAUUUAUUGGGCGUAAAGCGAGCGCAGGCGGUUUGAUAAGUCUGAUGUGAAAGCCUUUGGCUUAACCAAAGAAGUGCAUCGGAAACUGUCAGACUUGAGUGCAGAAGAGGACAGUGGACUCCAUGUGUAGCGGUGGAUGCGUAGAUAUAUGGAAGAACACCAGUGGCGAAGGCGGCUGU